rnacentral:rRNA from 1 species
UUAAUUGAAGAGUUUGAUCAUGGCUCAGAUUGAACGCUGGCGGCAGGCUUAACACAUGCAAGUCGAGCGGUAGCACAAGGGAGCUUGCUCCCUGGGUGACGAGCGGCGGACGGGUGAGUAAUGUCUGGGAAACUGCCUGAUGGAGGGGGAUAACUACUGGAAACGGUAGCUAAUACCGCAUAACGUCGCAAGACCAAAGAGGGGGACCUUCGGGCCUCUUGCCAUCAGAUGUGCCCAGAUGGGAUUAGCUAGUAGGUGGGGUAAUGGCUCACCUAGGCGACGAUCCCUAGCUGGUCUGAGAGGAUGACCAGCCACACUGGAACUGAGACACGGUCCAGACUCCUACGGGAGGCAGCAGUGGGGAAUAUUGCACAAUGGGCGCAAGCCUGAUGCAGCCAUGCCGCGUGUGUGAAGAAGGCCUUCGGGUUGUAAAGCACUUUCAGCGAGGAGGAAGGUGGUGAGCUUAAUACGUUCAUCAAUUGACGUUACUCGCAGAAGAAGCACCGGCUAACUCCGUGCCAGCAGCCGCGGUAAUACGGAGGGUGCAAGCGUUAAUCGGAAUUACUGGGCGUAAAGCGCACGCAGGCGGUUUGUUAAGUCAGAUGUGAAAUCCCCGGGCUCAACCUGGGAACUGCAUUUGAAACUGGCAAGCUAGAGUCUCGUAGAGGGGGGUAGAAUUCCAGGUGUAGCGGUGAAAUGCGUAGAGAUCUGGAGGAAUACCGGUGGCGAAGGCGGCCCCUGGACGAAGACU